UUCCUGCAUAGAGAGAGACGGUUGUUUCAGCUGCUCCUGCUUCUGUGCCUUCCCCAUAGUGAACAUCUAGCUGCCUGGCCCUGUAGGAAGGGCACACACGUGCCACUGUCCCUGUGAGGAGAAUCAGAGAGUCAUUCUCUUCUUCUAGCUUCACUUGGGUUCCUGGGAAUCUAACUCCUCUGGUCAGACUGGUACAUAGAAGAUGACCCUGAUUGAGAAAUCACUUAUCACAGUGACAAAUGAAGACUGUCAAUCAGUUUCUCGAGCCAGCCAGUUACUGGAUAAACAAAGAAACCAACAACAACAACAACAACAACAACAACAAAAACACAGAACAGCACAAGUCUUUAGGCAGCCCAGCCUGAGGCACCAGCUCAGAUUGCUGGGAGUGGGGAAAGCAGGGACUGGAAUGACUGUCCCUUUGGGAAUCUUUAUUCUCUAGUCAGGUGACAUGUUUAUGGGAGAAUCAUGUGUGCGGACCAAAAGUCCAAUGUCCUAACAGUCAGCUCCAAGCCAUGGCCAAGGUCUUUGAAAUGCAUAUUUUCUCCCAGAUUGGUAAUUGUGUGUGUCAUUCCUGCUGAGAGGCCAACAGGCAGGCUUCUCUGGCUGGUACUUCGGGAGAGAAACCUCUAAGGGGCCUCAGGGUGGGAGAAAACACUUCCAGGGUCUAGGAUAAAUGAAGCUAUUCCUUCACCUUGGAUGCUAGACCACAGCAGUGCCUCAGGCACCUCUUAGCAGAUGUGUGUCCUUUGGAGAGACCUCAGAGUGGCCCUAGGUACGAGGCUGUUUCUUUUCUAUAAAGGCUUCCAACAGAGCUGGGUGGCCUUGACUUGAAUUACAAUUCUGCAUGAGUUCCUCGCCUGGCUUCGGAUGCUCCAAGCGGAUCUUCUGAUGUGUGUGCAUUUUCCCGGCUUGGAUGUUUUGCUGGCAAAUUGCACUGUUGGCAGUGGGCACCGUGCCGGCUUCAGCAGAGCUGGCAGGGAACAGGGUAAUGUGCUCAGCACCCACAGAGCCCAAAGUCACUUGAAAGAGACAAUGGUGAUCUGUAGAUACCGUUGGCAGGAAGAUAAAAGGAACCUCAAGCUUCCAUCUUGGCCACGUUGGUGAGGUUCUUGAAGCUGAUUGUCUCAGCAAACAUCUCACCCACUUCAGGCUUAAGGAUGAAAAUGGCUUUCCAAGCCAGGCAGACGAUGAUGAAAGACAUGAAUUACAAGGAGAGGAGGAAUCGAAGACAGGUGCAUGCCUUUGGAGUGACAGCGGCCUCUGCUCUGACCCCCUCACCCCAGAAACUCCCAUGGUAUGAACCAGAAGAGCUGCAGCCCCUGCUGGACAGAGGACAGUGCUGCUGGUAGGCAGAGCUUUUACAAGGACAUCCCCAUUUGUCAAUCACACCAGCAAAGGGCACAGCACACUUGUCCUGAGCUUUUCCCUUCUCACAAACAUGGGUUGUAACCAGGUGUGUGUGUGUGUGUGUGUGUGUGUGUGUGUGUGUGUGUGUGUGAUCCCAUCAAGCAGGAGCAGAGGCAGGAGGAUCGCUGUGAGUUUAAGGCCAGCUUGAGCUACCUAGUGAGUUCUAGGCAGGGCUAAGCAGCGAGACUUUGCCUUAGAAACAAAGUAAGACCACAAAUGCCAUUCUCUCAAAUGGGCAAGCGUGCUGGUUUUGUGUAUUAUGGUCCAGCUGUUGCUCCGUCUCCCAGAGGAAGAAGCUGUAGGUAGGCUAGUUAGUUUUUCCUUCCUGGUACCUAUUGUUUUCCCUCAGCCACUCCUUCACUGGACUUAAAAUUGCCUCAAAAGGAGAGAAAGGAGCUGGGGAAAUGUUUGAGUGAGAAGUGUCUUCUGUAGGCUCAGGUAUUUCAACCCUUUGUCCCCGGUUGGUGCCACCGUUAGGGAAAGGCUAUGACACCUUUAGGACACAGAGCCUUUUUGGAGGAAGUACUCGACUUAAGGUAGGAGUUGAGAGUGUAUAGCUUUGCAGUCCUUUCCAGUUCACCCCUCUCUGCUUCCUGUACGCUGUUAAGAUGUAAUCUCUCAGCUUCCUGCUCCAAUCACCCACUGCUGGUGCUUCCAAUCGUCUCGUGGAUCCAUACAUCUGGAACCGCAAGCCGAAAUAAACUCUUCUUAUCUUUG
rnacentral:lncRNA from 1 species